rnacentral:lncRNA from 1 species
AUUAAUUGUGUAAAUUAUUUUAAUAUUUAUCUAUUUCUCUCUCUCUCUCUCAUUUAUUUAAUAGUUACGGUUAAUACUCUCUCUCUCUAUUAUUUCUAUUGUUUCAUAGUUACAGUUAGUAUUAAUUAGCACUGAAUUGUGCCGAAUUUAGCAAUUACAAAUUGAGUAAUUAGCAUUUAGUUUAAAAGUAAUUAUUCAUUUCUCCAUCUGACCGACGAAAACAUAACUAACUAAUGUAUAAGAAAAAAAAAAUAUAUUCUUGCAUCCAAAGCAUUUAACGUUUCAAUAAUUAGCAAAAAAGUUCCAAAGCAAAAAUAAAAAGAAAUUAUAAAAAUCCACCGUAAAAAAAAUAAAAAAUAAUGGUUCUUAAUUUUCAUGCUUUUGGCAAUGUCAACUUAAAACUCAUUACUUUCAUUUUAGCCCAAAACCG